UACGGAGGGAGCUAGCGUUGUUCGGAAUUACUGGGCGUAAAGCGCACGUAGGCGGCUUUGUAAGUUAGAGGUGAAAGCCUGGGGCUCAACUCCAGAACUGUCUUUAAGACUGCAUCGCUUGAAUCCAGGAGAGGUGAGUGGAAUUCCGAGUGUAGAGGUGAAAUUCGUAGAUAUUCGGAAGAACACCAGUGGCGAAGGCGGCUCACUGGACUGGUAUUGACGAUGAGGUGCGAAAGAGUGGGGAGCAAACAGG
rnacentral:rRNA from 1 species